UACGUAGGGGGCUAGCGUUGUCCGGAAUCAUUGGGCGUAAAGAGCGUGUAGGCGGCCCGGUAAGUCCGCUGUGAAAGUCGGGGGCUCAACCCUCGGAUGCCGGUGGAUACUGUCGGGCUAGAGUACGGAAGAGGCGAGUGGAAUUCCCGGUGUAGCGGUGAAAUGCGCAGAUAUCGGGAGGAACACCGGUGGCGAAGGCGGUUCUCUGGGCCUUACCUGACGCUGAGGAGCGAAAGCGUGGGGAGCGAA
rnacentral:rRNA from 1 species